rnacentral:rRNA from 14 species
UGACCUCGGAUCAGGUAGGGAUACCCGCUGAACUUAAGCAUAUCAAAA